rnacentral:sRNA from 1 species
UAUGUUAAUAUAACAGUUAGUAGGAGUGUAACAUAAUAUAUAUUAGUAGUAGUAAAGAAUAUUCGGUAAUGAUGGUAUAAUUUCUUAUAGCUUGUAAUAUAUGUACAGCUUAAGAAUAAAAGAGUAAAAGUAUUUAUGAUACCUUUUCUGUUUUGAUCAGGACAUCAUAUAAUAUAUUAUUAUCCACUAUUAUAUAUUAUCAAAUAUAAGUAGUAGGAUAUCUCUUAUCACCUAAUUUAAAAUCGUUUAUGACAUUGAACAUAGCAUUAGAAAAAAAAAAUCCUUUUUUUUUUUUUUCUUUUGCAACAUAUAUACUAAUAUGGCAUGGUAUAUAUAAAAGUCAUGUGGUUGGUUAACUAAAGGGAUGUAGAAUAUAUAUAGGAUUAUAAUAAUAGCAAGAUUAUUUAUACAUAUAUAUGUGUGUGUGGAUGGUACUAUGGCGGAAUUUAGUGGUAUUAAAUAAUCAUGAAAAAGACUACAUAUAUAUAAUAUCAUUGCAAAAAGUCAGUGAUAUUAUAUAUAGAAGGAACCUCAUAUAUGUAUUCAUUAAAGAUGCAUAUAUGAGGUGGGGAAAUACAAGCGAAUGUUGUACAAACAGAGGGGUACAGUAACAUGGCUACAGGUACUUUUUUACAGGUACAUGGCUACAGGACUUGUUGACAGGAUUUUCCUACAGGAUUUACCUAAUGGACUUUCCUAAAGGAUUUACCUAAUGGACUUGCCUACAGGAUUUACCUAAUGGACUUGCCUACAGGAUUUACCUAAUGGAUUUUCCUACAGGAUUUACCUAAUGGACAUGCCUAAAGGAUACCUAAUGGACUUGUUUACAGGAUUUGCCUACAGGAUUUACCUAAUGGACAUGCCUAAAGGAUUUACCUAAUGGACUUGCCUAAAGGAUUUACCUAAUGGACAUGCCUAAAGGAUACCUAAUGGACUUGUUUACAGGAUUUGCCUACAGGAUUUACCUAAUGGACUUUCCUAAAGGAUACCUAAUGGACUUGUUUACAGGAUUUGCCCAAAGGAUUUACCUAAUGGACUUGUUUACAGGAUUUGCCUAAUGGAUAUUCCUACAGGACUUGUUUACAGGAUUUGCCUAAUGGACAUGCCUACAGGACUUGUUUACAGGAUUUACCUAAUGGAUAUUCCUACAGGACUUGUUUACAGGAUUUACCUAAUGGACUUGUUUAUAGGAUUUGCCUACAGGAUUUACCUAAUGGAUUUUCCUACAGGACUUGUUUACAGGAUUUACCUAAUGGAUUUUCCUACAGGACUUGUUUACAGGAUUUACCUAAUGGAUUUUCUUAAAGGACCUUCCUAAAGGAUAUGCCUAUAUAUAUAUGGCUAAGGAGAACGGUUUCUACCGAAGGGCUACAGAAAAAGAUUAUAAUAAAUAAAAAAGUGCAAAUCUUUUUCAGAAACGGCACAGGCGCAGCCAAUAUGCACUAGGAAACAAAGGAAAAGGUACAAAUAAAAUGUGCAAAACUGAUACAGAAACGGCACAGGAGCAGCCAAAUAAUGCACAUAGGAAAACACAAUAAAAGAUUCAGAAAUUCUAAAGUACGUUUUUAAUAUCAGUUGGUACUUUAGAAAACUGUCUUUCUAUGGGUAAGGAAUAAAUUGUAUUUUAAUUAUAUGCAAUUUAUUUGUGUUUUCUUCUUAUAUGGUAACAUAUAAUGUUUGAAUUAAAUGUGUUUGUUUGUUUAUUUUUACAUUUGCAUACAAAAAGGCAUGAAAUGCGCCUUUUUUUUAUUAUUUUGUGUUUCGUUUUAAUUGCUUGAAUUUGUUACAUAAAAAUCAUAUAUAUAAUAUGGCAUAUUUUAUUAUUAAGUAGAAUAUGCCAUAAUAUAACUAAGUUUUUUUUUUUUUUUUAGCUCUCAUUUCUUUUAUAUUUAGGUGUUGAGUAUUUUUUAUCGUUUUAAAGGAUAACUUUUUUUAUCCUAAUUAAAGUUAAUUCUUAUGACGUUUUACUUUACAGGUCGUGAAUAAGAUACUUUUUGUUAUAAGAAGAAAGGAUCGUUCUUUUAUAAUUCACAUGUAAGAAGAUAAUGUAGGUAAAGGCAUUUUAUAAUUAUUAUUAUAAUAAUGAAACAAAAAAAAAAAAAAAAAAAAAGUAAAAAAAAAAAAAAAAAAAGUAAAAAAAAAAAAAAAAAAAGUAAAAAAAAAAAAAAAAAAAAAAAAAAAAAAAAAAAAAAAAAAAAAAAAAAAAAAAAAAAAAAAAAAAAAAAAAAAGAAAAAAAAAAAAAAAAAGUAAAAAAAAAAAAAAAACUACAUGUAUAUAUACAUAAUUUUUAUUUUAUGUAUAUACGUUUUUAUAUGAAUAGCAUAUAUUAUAUGUUUUAUUUAUACUUGUGUUAUAGUGUUGCAUAUACAGAAAAAAUUCAUUGGCCUAAUGUAAAGAGGUGAAUGAAGUGUUAUUUUUAUUUUUAUUUUAUUUUAAUUGAAGUUAAUAAUUAAAAUAUAUGUGUGUUAGUAUAAUAUGUAGUAUAUAUAGUGAUUGCCUUAUGUUAUUAUGUUGUGUAUAUAUGUUGUUGCAAAUAAAAAGAAAUAUAUAUGUCUGUCUAAAUAUAUAAUUAAUUACAUGAAUGAAUAUUUUCUUAAUAUGUCUUCAUUUCACAAUUAAAUGUGUUACAUCAAUAAAUGUAUUUUUAUAAGUCUUCAUUUCAUAAUUAAAUGUGUGUUACAUCAAUAAAUGUAUUUUUAUAAGUCUUCAUUUCAUAAUUAAAUGUGUUUUACAUCAAUAAAUGUAUUUUUAUAAGUCUUCAUUUCAUAAUUAAAUGUGGUUACAUCAAUAAAAAAUUUUUUUAAUAAACCUUAAAUUUAUAAUUAAAUGUGUUACAUGAAUGAAUACGUGUAGUUAUAGAAGCACAAAUGACGCUAAGAUAUAUUCAUAAUGAUAUCUUGAAGACCAAAUAAGGACAAGACAAAUAAAUAAUAGUAUACGUUAGAGUAUAUAUAUUUGAAGACUUGACGAAUAUGGAAAUCUUGAAGAAGAAUGGAUUUAUUGAAUGAAUGGAAAUCCCCAAAGACAUACAAUUGUGUAUAUAAACCUUGGAGUAUUACAUAUUAUAUUGCUACAUAAAUAUUUUUAACUUCUUUUUUUUUUAUUUUAAUUUUUAUGUGUCAAUAUAUAUAUAUAUAUAUAUAUAUAUAUAUAUAUAUAUUAACACUAAU